GUAGGUGAACCUGCGGAAGGAUCAUUAUUGAAUUAUGUUUUCUAGAUGGGUUGUAGCUGGCCCUUUGGGGCAUGUGCACGCCUGUCCGGACUUCAUUUUCAUCCACCUGUGCACCUAUUGUAGUCUUUGUCGGGAUGCAUUGAGGAAGUGGUCAGCCUAUCAGCAGUUGCUGGAUGUGAGGACUUGCAAUGCAGCAGUGCGUUGCUGUCCUUUACUUGGCCACGGAAUCAAUUUCCUGUCGGAGUCUAUGUCAUUUAUUAUACCCUGCAGAAUGUCAUUGAAUGUCUAUACAUGGGCUUGUAUGCCUAUGAAAAUUGUAAUACAACUUUCAGCAACGGAUCUCUUGGCUCUC
rnacentral:misc_RNA from 1 species